CGGAGACCCACGCUUGGAGCGGUGCGCACGGGGAGGCGGCGGGAGCGGCUUCUGGGCCGUGCCCAGGUCACCCAACCCUCCGGCUUGGGGCUCUAGGGUUCAGGGGGCGAAGGCGGCUCCCGGCUGGCGCCAGACCGGGGCGAGAUGGUCGGCGCGGGCCACCAACCCAGUGCAGCCCAAGGCGGCGGCAGCAGCCAGAGCAACGGCGAACUGGAGCAGGGAACGCGCCUCCGAUAGGUCAGGCUUAGGGACCUGCGGACAAAGGGGCGGGAUCAGGUACCCCCCCGCGACACGGCCCGCCGAUUGGCUCCUGGGACUCGCCACGCCUCCGCCCGGAGGAGGGUCCACAGGCCUCUGCACGCCGCCCCGCCCCCGCGGGCAGCUGCGGUUGGUCCGCUGGCCAAGCCUUAAGUCUUGUCCGAACUCGCCACUGGCUGCUUCCUAGCGGCCUGUGCUGAUUGGCUGCUCGGGCACCCUCCCUCCCCGCGGCGGGCCCCGCCCGACAGAGGCGCAGCUAAGCAGAGGCGGCUGGGGGUGUCCACACACGCCGUGGGCCCACCUUCCCCCGCGUUGCCCUCGGGAAAGGAGACGCAUGAGGGACUCGCCUGCAUCUGCCCCCGCCUGCAGCAGCUCCAUCCGCUCCUGCAGCUGCUGGACGCGCGCCUCCAGGUCCUGGUUCCGGGCCUCGGCCUCCCGGAGCUGACUGUGGGGAGGUAAAGGCCGUGAGCACUCCGGACCCGAGCGGGACAGGCUGCUGGCGGUAGAGACCAGCCCGGCGCCCCGACCCUGACCCCGACCUGGCAAAGUUUUGGUUAGCUGUGCGGAUGGCCUCCAGCUCCUGGCUCAGGCUCUGCCGUGUGAGCACCUCCUCCUCCAGGGCCUCCUGGAGCUCCCGCAGCGUCACCUGGGUCACCUGGGUCACCUGGGCUUCCACCGUGGCCGCCGCCGCCGCCGCCGCCGCCGCCACCGCCGGAAAGGCCUCCGGAAGGGCCUCCAGAACCGCAGCUUCAGCCUGCGGGCGCGAUCGCACUUAGGGCUGCCCGUGGCUCCUGCGGCACCCAGGACCUGGGCUAGGAUCCUCCCUUGUCCUCUAGAACUUUCUGGAACCCCACAGCUCCUGUGCUGACCCAGUUCUCCUCCUCCCCUAACCAACCGCAGCUCCUGUCCCUGUCUCCAGCCUUUGGUCCUGGCCCUUCCCACCCACCCUCCACCCAGGAACCAAAGGGCUGUUCCUAAAACUCUAGCCCAGUUUGUCCCUGUCCCUCUCCCCUCGGGCCCCUCAGCACCCUCAGGGCAAGGCCUACCUCAUCAAAAGGCCCUGUUUGGUUGUUUCCUGUGGGCCUCAGUCUCCCCUCCCCUCACCCUCCACCUCCCACUGCUCCUAGAACAAGUCACCUUACCACCCUGCUUUCCUGUUCCAGAAUAAACCUUUGCCUUGAGGUUUUGUCUGCUGA